AGGAGAUAAGCAAGCCGGUCCCCGAGAGAGUCCACAGGCAUGAUUUGACAGGAUAAUGCCCUCACUUGAUAAAAGGAGAGACUCUCUGUCAGCUGCCCGCAUCCUCCCUGAAGCUCUGGAAUCUGACUUCAUGGAGCAUUUGAGCAGCUAAGCUUUUCCUGACCCCCUCCCUCCCACCACCACUCCCGCCUUCCCCCAGUUGCUGAGCAUAAUUGAGAAUUAAUUGCAUGUCUGCUUAUUAUUUUGCUUACUUAAUUUGGUCUAAACGUUGUUCACACUCCAGACUUAAGGCCUGGAAGUGGCUGUCUUCAGUAGGAGACUUGGGAGUGCUCUCCUGUAGGAUCCAAGACUUCUCAUCUUUCCGAUGCGAACUGAAUUAUGCUAGCAUGUCAACCAGGACAUUUCAGAGAAGCAUCGAACAGAAACGUGUUAGUAAACCUCUUACCAGAACACCCUCACUAUCGAUUUUUUUUUGUCACUAAAACACAAACCAGCAUGGGACAUUAAACAGGACCUUUGGUAUUUGGUGUUGGGAAAAUGCCCCCUUGGAUCUAGAGCUCUUUAGGAGUAAUGGCUUCCCGAAAAGAACUAUAGAGAAAAAGAAGGCAGAAUAACCCAGGUGCCUGAGCAUCUUUGAGGAGAGGUUGUCUGUACAGGUGUAUGAGGAAAAGAAAAUCUUAUUUAUGAAUGGAGUGUGGUGAUACACCCUAUCCCGAGCUUUUGUCCCCACCAGCAAGAACAUGCUCAGGACAACCGGAAUCUUCUGCGGCAAAAGCUUUAUUGCUUACUUCUUUAGGAACAAGAGGAGAAGAAUAGGGGCGAAUGGCAAAACCCUGUCCCUUUUAUGGAGGAUUGUCCUCCGCCUCGGACAUGUCGCUCCCUGAUUGGCUGCAGCCCAUCAACCGAGUUGUCGUCAAGGGGAAGGCAGAGCACAUGGAGUGGAGAACUACCCCGGCACAUGCGCAGAUUAUUUGUUUACUACUUAGAACACAGGAUGUCGGCGCCAUCUUGUAAUGGUGAAUGUGAGGGUGGCUCCUCACAACAUCCCUUUAAUCCCAGUACUGAAGGCAGAGGCAGGUGGAUUUCUGAGUCUGAAGACAGCCUGGUAUAGAGAGCUAGUUCCAGGGCUAUACAAGAAGACUCUGUCUUGCAAAAAAUGAAACAAAACAAAAUAAAACAAAUGAAUAAACAAAAAGAAAGAAGCUUCAAUUUUUAUAAAAUAAAAACUAAUUUACUUUAG
rnacentral:lncRNA from 1 species